UUUAUCGGAUUAGCUUGCUAAACUGAUAAACCUAGCGGCGGACGGGUGAGUAACGCGUGAGCAAUCUGCCUCAUACAGGGGGAUAACAGGUGGAAACACCUGCUAAUACCGCAUAAGACUCCACUACCGCAUGGUAGAGAAGUCAAAGGGCUUACCGGUAUGAGAUGAGCUCGCGUCCCAUUAGCUAGUUGGUAGGGUAAAGGCCUACCAAGGCGACGAC
rnacentral:rRNA from 1 species